rnacentral:lncRNA from 1 species
UUCAUUCCCAUGUGGCACGUGCUCACCCUGCUCUUCUGCAGGAGAUCUGGACCCCAGGCACAUCCCAAGACAGGGCGCUCCUGGCAGAAAUCCAGACACGACUGAGAUGGACCUGCUGCGUCCGGCUCGUGUGGCUUUCCACAAACAUCUAAAACAUCGCUUUGCUUCACCUGCUUUCAACUUUUCCUCUGAGACUUGUCACAGUUCUAGUCACAGCUCAUCACUGAACUACUCUGGGGUUCUAGCAAGAGGGGUGGACUCAGAAUGGGAGGAGAACAGAUGCUUUCAACCUCUGCUGCUAUGA